GGGGAAUAUUGCACAAUGGGGGAAACCCUGAUGCAGCGACGCCGCGUGAAGGAAGAAGGUUUUCGGAUCGUAAACUUCUAUCAGCAGGGACGAAGAAAGUGACUGUACCUGACUAAGAAGCCCCGGCUAACUACGUGCCAGCAGCCGCGGUAAUACGUAGGGGGCAAGCGUUAUCCGGAAUCACUGGGUGUAAAGGGUGCGUAGGCGGUAGGGCAAGUCAGAUGUGAAAACCCGGAGCUCAACUUCGGGAUUGCAUUUGAAACUGUCCUACUAGAGUGCAGGAGAGGAAAGCGGAAUUCCUAGUGUAGCGGUGAAAUGCGUAGAUAUUAGGAAGAACACCAGUGGCGAAGGCGGCUUUCUGGACUGUAACUGACGCUGAGGCACGAAAGCGUGGGUAGCGAAC
rnacentral:rRNA from 1 species